rnacentral:misc_RNA from 1 species
AACGCACAUUGCGCCCUUUGGUAUUCCGAGGGGCAUGUCUGUUCGAGCGUCAUUACAACCCUCAAGCUUCUGCUUGGUAUUGGGCUUCAUCUGCCUAAGGAUGUGCCUAAAACUCAUGGGCGGUUGCACCUAGCUUCCUUGCGUAGUUAUUAUUUCUCGCUUGGAAAUUUAGGUGUAACCCGCCUAAGAAUCACCCAAUUUUUUUAAGGUUUGACCUCGGAUCAGAUAGGGAUACCCGCUGAACUUAA